AUUUCGAAUUUGUACCUUGAAAAUGGCCUGGAGUGUACGUCGUUGCAAAUCGGUAAAAACUAAGCGAGGCUUCUUCGGUGACGGUUGUUCCGGUGGCGGAGGUUGCUCUUCUUUGCGCUUACAAACAACUGCGACUAUGAUAUGGCACUGCCAGCUCUUUUUUUUCGUGAAAUUUUCAACUGAAACGCUUGAUCUCCCCUGAGAUGCAAAUCCAACCAGCGGCUGCUCAAAUAAUUGACGAUAUUCAGCGACACAUUCGACAGUAAACGUCACGGGAAUAGACAGUUCCAACACAAGUCAUGCACCCCCAUCCCUUUGUCUGCCAUGGAAACUCGACUCUUAUCAAGAAACCAACGCUCCCUUCUUUUUAAAUGUAUUUAUUUCCCUUUCGUAUUUUUAAACAGGGAUUCGUCUGAUGCGUGAGAAACGUCGCAGAAACAAAUAAGUCACGAAACUGAAAAGAAAGAAAAAACAAAAACAACAAACUUACUUGGUGGCUCUCCAAACGGCGGUGUGUGCUGCUGCUGAGCGUGGCCUCCAACUGAAUCAACGAAGAAAAAAAUAAAUAAAUAAAUAAAAAGGUUAGAUUUUAAUAAAAAUCUCUUCCAAGAAAAAGGAUUGGCGAAAUUUAACGUUUGCACCGCUUGCAACAGCAUCGUAGUGACGGUGGGUAUAAGCAGAAAGGUGUCAACGAAAUCGAUAGAUUUCUCCCCCCCACCCUCUUUUUUUUUUUUUUGUGCUUUCCAGCGUAAAUCGAUGGCUAUCGUGGAGAUAGUGGCUUAGUUGGGCAAUCCUCUACCAUCGCACGUUUUAUAUUAACAAAGAAAAUCGGCAAGACGAAUCGGUGCCGGGGAUUUGUCUGCGACGAAAUUGAAUUUCGCGCCAUUGUUUGGAGCUGCUACAACAACUGAAGUGCAAGUGUGUAUAACAAGUGAACAUUGUAAUACAGCCGAAUUCAAGGUAUUCGAUGUUUCGCCGUUACCAAGGCCCCGAAAUGCGCAUAUACGAACGUGUUGAUUAGAUGUACUUCCCCGCAGAACACGAAGUUUUGGAAUGAAAACCUCGACUAUGAUGUCAAUCACAAGUAGAUGUAGAUUAUAAAUCAACUGACGCGUGUCGAGUCGAAAGACGGCGCUCAUAGAAAUCAUUUCUCACUUAUAUUCGUCGCAUAGUUUCUCACUUGAUUACGAUCGGAAUUUUCCGUAUGUUAAAACACAUAUGCGCAUUAUCUGUGCCGAACGGAACAAAAUAUAAAAACAGUCACGUCAACUGCAGUCGGGCAGUUGUUUGUGUGCAAUUUCCGAUUGAAAAACAUGUGUGUUACAACACCCCAAGCUGACACGACCAGAAAUGAUUGAGGAUAUCAUUUCAUUUUAUUUCAAACUAAAAAACAAUUGUUUAUUUUUAUGCGUACCCGUAUAAUACUAUAUUCUGUACGCUUACUUGAUCUUCCGUCGUUACGUAAUGAUUGGAUAUGCUUAA